UUUUGUGGGGUGCUCGAGUGGCGAACGGGUGAGUAACACGUGAGUAACCUGCCCUUGACUUUGGGAUAACUUCAGGAAACUGGGGCUAAUACCGGAUAGGAGCUCCUGCUGCAUGGUGGGGGUUGGAAAGUUUCGGCGGUUAGGGAUGGACUCGCGGCUUAUCAGCUUGUUGGUGGGGUAGUGGCUUACCAAGGCUUUGACGGGUAGCCGGCCUGAGAGGGUGACCGGCCACAUUGGGACUGAGAUACGGCCCAG
rnacentral:rRNA from 1 species